rnacentral:misc_RNA from 1 species
GCAGUAUUAAGCAAAGUGUUUCGUGGGUAGGAACCAAAUCAUCAGACAUUACACUAUCGCGAGAAGAAUACCAUCUAACGCCAGAAGGUCGCAACAUUAGAAGCAGAACAAUGCUCCUCAACGGGAAAUUAUUGCAACUCACAGAAACAGGAGACAUUCCAAGCUUGUCUCCAGUCUUUACAAAUCUCAACUCUCCAUUAUCUAUUGAACCAUUGUCCAUCAAGUUCAUUGUUUUUCCUAAUUUUAAUUCUCCCAGUUGUACAUAGGACAGCUUCAAAUACAAAAUAUAAAUGUGGCUA